rnacentral:rRNA from 1 species
UAGAGUUUGAUUCUGGCUCAGAUUGAACGCUGGCGGCAUGCCUUACACAUGCAAGUCGAACGGCAGCACGGGAGCAAUCCUGGUGGCGAGUGGCGAACGGGUGAGUAAUAUAUCGGAACGUGCCCAGUCGUGGGGGAUAACGCAGCGAAAGCUGUGCUAAUACCGCAUACGAUCUAUGGAUGAAAGCGGGGGAUCGCAAGACCUCGCGCGAUUGGAGCGGCCGAUAUCAGAUUAGCUAGUUGGUGGGGUAAAGGCCCACCAAGGCGACGAUCUGUAGCUGGUCUGAGAGGACGACCAGCCACACUGGAACUGAGACACGGUCCAGACUCCUACGGGAGGCAGCAGUGGGGAAUUUUGGACAAUGGGCGCAAGCCUGAUCCAGCAAUGCCGCGUGCAGGAUGAAGGCCUUCGGGUUGUAAACUGCUUUUGUACGGAACGAAACGGCUCUUUCUAAUAAAGAGGGCUAAUGACGGUACCGUAAGAAUAAGCACCGGCUAACUACGUGCCAGCCGCCGCGGUAAUAC